rnacentral:rRNA from 1 species
CAGCCGCCGCGGGAAUACAGAGGGUGCAAGCGUUAAUCGGAAUUACUGGGCGUAAAGCGCGCGUAGGUGGUUUGUUAAGUUGGAUGUGAAAUCCCCGGGCUCAACCUGGGAACUGCAUCCAAAACUGGCAAGCUAGAGUAUGGUAGAGGGUGGUGGAAUUUCCUGUGUAGCGGUGAAAUGCGUAGAUAUAGGAAGGAACACCAGUGGCGAAGGCGACCACCUGGACUGAUACUGACACUGAGGUGCGAAAGCGUGGGGAGCAAACAGGAUUAGAUACCCGCGUAGUCCCUGUCUCUUAUAC